rnacentral:rRNA from 1 species
AUUGAACGCUGGCGGCAGGCCUAACACAUGCAAGUCGAGCGGAUGAAGGGAGCUUGCUCCUGGAUUCAGCGGCGGACGGGUGAGUAAUGCCUAGGGAUCUGCCUGGUAGUGGGGGAUAACGUCCGGAAACGGGCGCUAAUACCGCAUACGUCCUGAGGGAGAAAGUGGGGGAUCUUCGGACCUCACGCUAUCAGAUGAGCCUAGGUCGGAUUAGCUAGUUGGUGGGGUAAAGGCCUACCAAGGCGACGAUCCGUAACUGGUCUGAGAGGAUGAUCAGUCACACUGGAACUGAGACACGGUCCAGACUCCUACGGGAGGCAGCAGUGGGGAAUAUUGGACAAUGGGCGAAAGCCUGAUCCAGCCAUGCCGCGUGUGUGAAGAAGGUCUUCGGAUUGUAAAGCACUUUAAGUUGGGAGGAAGGGCAGUAAGUUAAUACCUUGCUGCUUUGACGUUACCAACAGAAUAAGCACCGGCUAACUUCGUG